GCAGCAUUUCAUAAUCUUCAGAAAUAUUAUAUCCUUCAAAACUGAUGAAACCAAAAGAUAGUUUAAAACUCUUCAUCAGUAAUUAAAACAAAAACAAUAAUCCAUAAUACUCAUUACAUUGUCAAAAAUCCAAACUUAAUUAAAACAAGGUAAUAGUGGAGCGCCUAAGACAUCGAAUCAAACAGCCUUGAAAGAUAAGCAAGGCAUACCGACCCAAAACUGAAGAAGCAGGAACACUCAACAAGGUUCACCUGCUAUCAGAAACUAAGAACCUGAAAUAAUAUUAAGAAUGAGGGGUGAGUUCAACCAACUCAGUGAGGGAAUAAUAAUUAAUAUACAUUUUAGAUAUUCUUGAUAUUUAUAGUUCGCAAGAUCAUUUAUCUUGAUAUACAUAUACAUAUACAUACUAAACUUAUCAUAUACAUAUCAUAUACAUACUAAACGUAUCAUCAUAACGUAGUGGACUAUAUGUCAGAGAUCAGAUGACACCCGAAGGUGACCAGAUGACACCCGAAGGUGACCAGACCAGAUGACACCCGAAGGUGACCACUGUGGGAUGAUCAGUCGCCACAGGCUGAUGCCUCUCUCACCAGCUAGGUAUACAUACAGAAUACUAUGUGCACACAGGCUAACUACUCUCCGUUAGCAUGGAGUUACUGACAAGUCCCAUAUCAAGGCAUAAUAGAUAUUCACAUAAUCAUCAAGAAACGUAUAUCAUAUCAAAUAGGAUUUACUUUGACAGAUUGCGAGUGCAAAUUCAAGAAUAAAUGAGUACUCGGAAAAUAAGCAACAUAUAUAAUUAUUCAAGGAAUUAACGAGUUGUACUCAUUGUAUAAUCAACAUACAUAUUUACUUAUCAUAUAUGCAUAUUAAAGAUUAUUCCACUCACCCGGAAAAUAUAGAACUAAAAGGAAUGUCAGACGAAAGACCCGAAAAUCCUAUUGAGGAUCGUUAGGAGAACCUACAACAAUACGAAAAUAUACUCAAAAGCAACUCAAACAAGAGAUCCCAAUGCAUAAAAGAAAACCAGGUUUAGUCUCCUAAGUUUAUGGACUAAAACGAUAAUUUUCCAAAACAGGGACCAAAACGUAAUUUUACCAAAAUUGGACCAAUCUGGAAAAUACAUAACUAUACUGAAUUUUCACCCAUAAACCAUCCUUAAUUCUGUCUAGAACGAACCAGGGACCGAACUGUAAUUUUCAUAAAGUUCAGGGACUAAAAUGUAAAUUCCCGAAAUUGAGGGACCAAACUGAAAAUAUUCCAAAUCAAUUAUCAAACUCAGAUUCAUCAUCCUUAACCUCAUAAUAACACUGUCCAGAAUCUCAAAAUACAAUUAGGGGUCAAAUUAUAAUUUUACCAAAGUUUAGGGACUAAAUUGUAAUUUCACAAAUUGAGGGACCAAAUUGAAUUUUCGUCAUCUUCAACCUCAAACCCAGAAUUUCACAGAUUACCUACUGUCAUCUUCUGAUUUCUAACACAAUUUCACCAUUCAAACAAAAUCAUAACUCAAAAUCAUCAUCUUUACCUCCAAUCUCUCACAAUCAACUAAUUAACCAAUUACCCACAACAAUCAACCCAUAACCUUCCAAUUAAUUCAUCAAUCAAACUCAAAACACAAUAUUCAAAACCCUAACAUUUAUCAAAACAGAACUUAAAGCUUAAAGAACACACAUUUAUACAUAAUCUUACCUUUAAACUUAUUUUCCUCUACUUCUCUCCCUUUUCCCUUCUCUUCCCCUCUUUUCUCUUCUUCUUCUUCCUCCUCCCUUCUCUCUCACGGUUUGCUCCUUCCAUUUUCAGAUCCCUCUUUCUUUCUUCUUCUUUCUUUUAUUUAUAUUUAUCAACUAUUGUUCAAUUACCACAAUACCCCUCAUUUAAUUAUACUUACUUCUAAGCCUCCAAGGGCUUGGUUGCCCUUUCCUACUAAUUUAUUUGCAAAACAUCACAAUCUCCCCACCUUAUAAAAGUUUCGUCCUCGAAACUUAAAAUUUAAGAACCAAAGUCUUACCAUCAUGAUCAAAUAAAUUAUUUAAAACUUAUCUCUAAAAUUGUAUUUCUUAAACUAUCAUUUAAAGUCCACUUAAAAAAAAAAUCAAUAUAUAGCACCAUGCUUUCGUUGCGCACUCUGAUAUAUCCACUGAAAAAAAUAUCUCAUGCAUAACUUUUCUUAAUUCAUAUCCCUCAAAAUCAAACAACACACCCUUCAAUUUCUCUUGAAUCAACUUUUCUCAAAUAACUUAUCUCAAAUCAUAUCUCUUCAAAAAUCAAAACGCAUCCUCAUAAUUUAUUUAUUUUUAAGCAUCAGGUAAAAGAAUUCAGCCUUAUAGUUGGGGAAUGUCAUGAAGUAACAGAGUCUAAUGAACAACAACAAUUAUGAGCUCAAACUUUCAAGAGGUAUCAAUCAUGGAGGAGAUUUCGCUUGCAAAAGCAAUAAGCGAUGAAGAUGAUAAGAUGUAUGUAGUUCUCUCAACCACCAUAACAACUAAAGAGUCAGAUGAAAUGAUAAAGACUAUAAAGGAGGAACAUAGUUGUUGUGACAAGAUUAAGGCAACAAUUAUGGUAAAGAUAACAAAAACCAGCUUGGAAGAAGCUUAGAUGGAUGAAAAGUUGUUAUAUGGUUUCAAUAUUACCUCAAAUGAUAGUGUUUCUCUUGAAAUUGAAGCAAAAACAUGUUUGAUAAGAAAAAAAAAAUCAAAGAUAACAUGGGACUUAAGAUACCCUACUUGAGAACUGAGGAUGCAUAGUAUAAGCAGUUUGGUGUGCUUCCGUCAUCACAUCUCUUUUCAAACCAUCCACCUCAGGCACACAUAACCUGGAACCAAAUCUCAACACACCAUCUUCAUGGAUAACAAAACCCGGAGCUCUCCCUAACUCCAACUCAUCUCUAAUCUUGCAAAGUCGCUCAUCCUUCAUUUGAGCUACUUUAAUUCGGUCUACCAAGUCUGACAUAGCCUGAAAGUGAGCCAACAAUGCUCCCGAUUCACAAAUCUCAAAACUGACCCUCUCAUCUAACAAUCAGUGUAACUCUUUAAUCAAAGGUCUCCUCACCUCCUGAAUAUGAGCCAAACUACCCAUAGAUUUUCUGCUUAAGGCAUCGGCAACAACAUUUGCCUUGCCCGGGUGAUAUUGAAUCGUGCAAUCAUAAUCACUUAACAAUUCCAUCCACCUUUUCUAUCUCAAAUUCAGAUCCUUAUGCUGGAAGAUAUAUUGAAGACUUUUAUGAUCUGAAAAUAUCUCACAUGUCUCCCCAUACAAGUAGUGUCUCUAAAUUUUAAGGGCAAACACUACUGCAACCAUCUCCAAAUCAUGUGUGGGGUAAUUUUGUUCGUGCUUCUUCAACUUUCUCGAGGCAUAAGCAAUCACAUUACCGUUCUGCAUCAAAACACAACCCAAACCAAUCCUGGAUGCAUCAUAGUACACGGUAAAACCACCAGACCCUGAAGAUACUGUUAAAAUAGGAGCUGUAAUUAACCUUUCCUUCAACUCCAGGAAACUCUUUUCACAUUCUUCUGACCAUUGAAACUUGACAUUUUUUUUUUUUUGUCAACUUAGUCAUUGGAGCAGCAAUUCAGGAAAAAUUCUCCACGAAUCUCCUGUAAUAUCAUGUUAAACCCAUAAAACUCCUAAUCUCAGAUAUUGUAACUGGUCUAGGCCACUGCUUAAUUGCCUCCACUUUUUGUGGAUCAACCUCUAUCCUAUUCUUGGACACUACAUGUCCCAGAAACCCAACAGUUUCUAACCAAAACUCACUCUUCAAGAAUUUUCCAUACAACUGAUGAUCUCUCAGAGUUUGAAGCACCAAUCUCAAAUGCUGCUCAUGCUCUUCUCUAGACCUCGAAUACACCAAAAUGUCAUCAAUGAACACAAUAACAAACUUAUCAAUAAACGGCCUAAAAACCCUGUUCAUCAUGUCCAUAAAAGCUGCAGGUGCAUUCGUUAACCCAAAAGACAACACUAGGAACUCGUAAUGCCCAUAACGAGUCCUAAAGGCAGUUUUAGGAACAUCCUCAUUCCUAAUCCUCAACUGGUGAUACCCCGAUCGCAAAUCAAUUUUUGAGAAACAUUGAGCUCUUUGUAAUUGAUCAAAAAGGUCAUCAAUGCGAGGGAGUGGGUAUUUAUUCUUAACAGUGACCUUGUUCAACUGCCUAUAGUCUAUACACAUCCUCAUUGAUCCAUCAUUGGGACCUCUAUGUUCACAUCAUGCACAUAAGCCAAAAACCCAUGCAUACCCUUCUGUACCAUCCUUCUCGUACCAUCCUUCUCGUGAUGGCCGGGAAAAUACUAGAUGGAGAUGAUACUUUAUCUUCAUGAAAAGCAAAUUUGUAUCCUCAUUAGGUUUGAAAGCUAUUAUCUUAUUCCAACAAUCAACUGAGACAUGGUGUCUUGACAACUAAUCCAUACCUAAUAUCACAUAAAAUGCUCACUAUUUCUAAAAGUACCAAAUCACCCAAUUUUAGAUAAGUAUAUUAAUCAACAUAUAGAUCAUAAUCAAAAGCCUAUAAUAACAACCUUCAUAAGUAAUUCUCCAAUAACAGUCUCAUCAUCCAUAACUAAUUAAUCAUAUUUCAACUUUCUCCUGCAUUUAAAAUCUAUAUUUCUGAAAUAAAAAUAUUGCGGAAAGAGAUGAGCGUCCACGACUCAAAAAGUAAUCAAAAUAAACACACCCAGAAAAAUAUUAUCAAACACAAAUUUUUCAUUGAAUAUUGUCAACGAUAUAUAUAUCAUAGAAAAAGAUUAUUAGACAUAUUUUUCAGAAUACUUACCAAAGAUAACACAUAUAGAUAUAAAUAUGAUGUAAAAUCAGAUUUAAAUACAAAAAUACUAUAAGUUGUUCAAUUACUUAAAAGCACAUACUUACAUUCAAUAUACACUCACUAACAUGAUUUGCACAUAUACAUACUUUUAGAGCACUACAAAUCAGAAAAUCAGCUCAUUUACAUAUAUUAUAUAUACUUCCAAAAAAAAUAUAUUUAUACCAAAUACUUAUGCUUAAGUAUUUUCAAGAAAUAUUAUUACUCAAAUACACGUUUUAUGCAAAUACUUUCAAAGAUAUACUUAUAUCAAAUAUUCACACACACAAGUAUAUGCAAAACACGUAUACCACAUAUAUUAUAUCCAAGAAUAUACUUAUAUCAAAUAUUGUCAGCCAUGUAUGAAAAACACAUAUUAUACAUAGUAUAUCCAUUGAUAUAUUUAUAUCAACCAUUCACAUAAUAUAUAUUUCCCCACAUGUAUAUCAACACGGCAAUAAAAAAAAAAGUUCAAAGAAGACAAUGAGGAAUCACAAUAAGACAAGAAGGAUCCUAAGCUCCACAUAUUACAAGUUUUUUUUUUUUUAAAAAAAAGGACCAAGUUUUAACAAAACCAAGCUACAGGGAUUUAACAAGAACCUGGCUCUGAUACCACCUUUGUAACGACCCGAAUCCCGGGUCCAUGACCGGCAACGCAGGAGCGGUGCCGGAAGGACACCCCGCCCGCGCUAAGCCUCAAAACGAACAUAUCAAAAGAAUAAUUUAUUCAAAAAUACGCAGCAUUUCAUAAUCUUCAGAAAUAUUAUAUCCUUCAAAACUGAUGAAACCAAAAGAUAGUUUAAAACUCUUCAUCAGUAAUUAAAACAAAAACAAUAAUCCAUAAUACUCAUUACAUUGUCAAAAAUCCAAACUUAAUUAAAACAAGGUAAUAGUGGAGCGCCUAAGACAUCGAAUCAAACAGCCUUGAAAGAUAAGCAAGGCAUACCGACCCAAAACUGAAGAAGCAGGAACACUCAACAAGGUUCACCUGCUAUCAGAAACUAAGAACCUGAAAUAAUAUUAAGAAUGAGGGGUGAGUUCAACCAACUCAGUGAGGGAAUAAUAAUUAAUAUACAUUUUAGAUAUUCUUGAUAUUUAUAGUUCGCAAGAUCAUUUAUCUUGAUAUACAUAUACAUAUACAUACUAAACUUAUCAUAUACAUAUCAUAUACAUACUAAACGUAUCAUCAUAACGUAGUGGACUAUAUGUCAGAGAUCAGAUGACACCCGAAGGUGACCAGAUGACACCCGAAGGUGACCAGACCAGAUGACACCCGAAGGUGACCACUGUGGGAUGAUCAGUCGCCACAGGCUGAUGCCUCUCUCACCAGCUAGGUAUACAUACAGAAUACUAUGUGCACACAGGCUAACUACUCUCCGUUAGCAUGGAGUUACUGACAAGUCCCAUAUCAAGGCAUAAUAGAUAUUCACAUAAUCAUCAAGAAACGUAUAUCAUAUCAAAUAGGAUUUACUUUGACAGAUUGCGAGUGCAAAUUCAAGAAUAAAUGAGUACUCGGAAAAUAAGCAACAUAUAUAAUUAUUCAAGGAAUUAACGAGUUGUACUCAUUGUAUAAUCAACAUACAUAUUUACUUAUCAUAUAUGCAUAUUAAAGAUUAUUCCACUCACCCGG
rnacentral:lncRNA from 1 species